UUCCGGUUGAUCCUGCCGGACCUCACUGCUAUCGGGGUGGGACUAAGACAUGCAAGUCGUACGCCUCCCAGCCGCCGGGGGAGGCGUGGCGCACGGCUCCGUAACACGUGGCUAACCUGCCCUUGGGACGGGGAUAACCCCGGGAAACUGGGGCUAAUUCCCGAUAGGCAAGGACGCCUGGAAUGGUUCCUUGCCGAAAGGGCGCUGGCACCGUGCUGUCGGCGUCGCCCAAGGAUGGGGCCGCGGCCGAUCAGGUUGUUGGUGGGGUAACGGCCCACCAAGCCGAUAACCGGUACGGGCCGUGAGAGCGGGAGCCCGGAGAUGGGCACUGAGAUAAGGGCCCAGGCCCUACGGGGCGCAGCAGUCGCGAAACCUCCGCAAUGCGCGAAAGCGCGACGGGGCCACCCCGAGUGCCGCCCGCUGAGGGUGGCUUUUCCUCGGUGUAGAUAGCCGGGGGAAUAAGGGGAGGGCAAGUCUGGUGUCAGCCGCCGCGGUAAUACCAGCUCCCCGAGUGGUGGGGAUGAUUAUUGGGCCUAAAGCGUCCGUAGCCGGCUCGGCAAGUCUCCCGUUAAAUCCAGCGAUCUAAUCGCUGGACUGCGGGAGAUACUGUCGGGCUAGGGGGCGGGAGAGGCCGGCGGUAUUCCCGGGGUAGGGGUGAAAUCCUAUAAUCCCGGGAGGACCACCAGUGGCGAAGGCUGCCGGCUGGAACGCGCCCGACGGUGAGGGACGAAAGCCGGGGGAGCGAACCGGAUUAGAUACCCGGGUAGUCCCGGCCGUAAACGAUGCGGGCUAGGUGUUUGGACGGCUACGAGCCGUCCAAGUGCCGCAGGGAAGCCGUUAAGCCCGCCGCCUGGGGAGUACGGCCGCAAGGCUGAAACUUAAAGGAAUUGGCGGGGGAGCACCACAAGGGGUGAAGCUUGCGGUUUAAUUGGAUUCAACGCCGG
rnacentral:rRNA from 1 species